rnacentral:rRNA from 1 species
CCCUACGGGAGGCAGCAGCGGGGAAUAUUGGGCAAUGGGCGCAAGCCUGACCCAGCAACGCCGCGUGAAGGAAGAAGGCUUUCGGGUUGUAAACUUCUUUUAUGGGGGACGAAACAAAUGACGGUACCUCAUGAAUAAGCCACGGCUAACUACGUGCCAGCAGCCGCGGUAAUACGUAGGUGGCAAGCGUUAUCCGGAUUUACUGGGUGUAAAGGGCGUGUAGGCGGGACUGCAAGUCAGAUGUGAAAAUUAUGGGCUCAACCCAUAACCUGCAUUUGAAACUGUAGUUCUUGAGUGAUGGAGAG